rnacentral:rRNA from 1 species
AGUGAAUAGAUCUGCCAUUUCUUGAAAUCUCUCUUCUAAUUCAAAAUCGUGGUGUAACUUGUAUCUCUUCCUGUUCCGGUCAUGGAAUAGAUGAAAUAAAUAAAUAAAUAGAUUUUUGUUCAAGAAUGAAAUCUUAUUGGAAUUGUCCAUAUACAAUUCAUCCUUCGGAACCAUAUCACAUCCCAAAUCUUAUCAAAUAGGAUGAGUUGAGACGGUAUUUUGUAAAUACGUAAUUAUCUUGAAUAUAUUAACUAUUUCUUUAUUUUUCGAUCGCUUGGAAGGGACAAAAGAAAUAUCUUGUUCUUUCUUCAACAAUUUCUGAUGUCUAGUGAACCUCUCAAUAGGAUUCGAACCCAUAUGAAGUUCUGACCAUCUGUCAGAGAAAAAAGAAAGAAUGGAUCUUGUAGGAUUCCCGAGAACCUGUUGUUGACAUUUUUAAUGUUUUCCAACUUCAACCGUGAAAAUAUUCAAUUGUCCUUCGUCAAUUGUAUCAGCUUCUAAUUCUACAAAUGAUGGUUGAAUCGAGCCGAUCCAAUUUUGUAAAUGAAGAAUGAAUGUUUGUUGAAUCUUCUUCGCCUUGGAUCGUGUAAUAGGUCCAGUUGGAACAUUUGGAACACCGUGAUUCUUAUCAAGCGGCUUAAGCUAUUAAGUGUAGGCGCUUUCCAGAGGUGGAAUCUUCGAGUUCUUCCUAUUUGACCCUAAACCGAUCGAUCUAGCCAUGAGCAGGUUGAAGAGAGCUCUAACAGGCCUUGGAGGAUCGAACCCACGUAUGUUGCAAAAUACGGGGAUGACUUGUGGCUAGGGGUGAAAGGCCAACCAAGAUCGGAUAUAGCUGGUUUUCCGCAAAAUCUAUUUCAGUAGAGCGUAUGAUGUUGAUGGCCCGAGGUAGAGCACUCAAUGGGCUAGGGUGGCCCCAUUUCGCCUUACCAACCCCAGGGAAACUCCGAAUACAGGCCUAGAUCAUUUGUACAGACAGACUUUUGGGGUGCUAAGAUCCCAAGUCGAGAGGGAAACAACCCAGAUUGUACGCUAAGGUCCCUACGAAAUCACUUAGUGGAAAAGGAAGUGAUCAAGCGAUUACAACAAGGAGGUGGGCUUGGAAGCAGCCAUCCUUUGAAGAAAGCGUAAUAGCUCACUGGUCUAGCUACAUGGCACCGAAAAUGUAUCAGGGCUCAAGUGAUUCACCGAAGCGACGAGACCUUGAAAGCAGCUUUUUCAAGUGUUAGUGGCGGGACGUUCUGUCAAUCGGGGAAGGUUUUUGGUGACAAGACUGGGAGAUAUCAGAAGUGAGAAUGCUGACAUGAGUAACGAGAAAUCCUGUGAAAAACACGAUAGCCUGCCAGUGGAAGGCUUUCUGCGUUCAGUAAAUCUACGCAGAGUGAAUCGGUCCCGAAAGGGCUGCCGUUCGAUGGGUACACGAAAGUGACGAAGUUGCUUUGACUAUAGAACCAUGCCUGUCUCUUGGAGCGAAUAGGAUGAUCGGGCCGAGGGCAGCCCCCUCUUCCCCUCACUCUCCUUUCCUUAAUAUAAGAAAUAUGAACCUUGAGUCAUCAAAGCCUUUCUCAUUCCAGUGCUCGCCUUUUAGUAGGGGCCUUUAGUUUUUUGAUUAGAGUAGGGGUCUCGAGAGAGCGUACCGCCCUGCCAUAGUUGCGAGUCUGUUUAUAGUCGCGACUGUUGUCAUAGUUAACAAGGUGGAAACUUCCAGGAAAAAACUUCGAAUUGGGAGGGCGAUCCUCCCGGUGAACUGCCUGUACCCCAAACCGACACAGGUGAACAAGUAGAGUAUACUAGGGCGCUUGAGAGAACCAUGUCGAAGGAACUCGGCAAAAUGACCUUGUAACUUCGGGAGAAGGGGUGCUCUCCUAUCUUUUGAUUAGGAAAGCGGCACAUACCAGGGGGUAACGACUGUUUAUUAAAAACACAGGACUUUGCUAAGUGGUAACACGAUGUAUAGAGUUUGACACCUGCCUGGUGCUGAAAGGUUGGAAGGAGAAGUGUUAUAAGCUUUGAAUGAAAGCCCCAGUAACGACGAUAGUAACUCUAACAGUCCUAAGGUAGUGAAAUUCCUUGUCACAUAAGUAGCGACCUACAUGAAUGGUGUAACGACUGCUCCGCUGUCUCCGACAUGGACCCGGUGAAAUUGAAUUCUCCGUGAAGAUGCAGAGUACCAACGGCUAGACGGUAAGACCCCGUGCACCUUAACUAUAGCUUCGCAAUGACAACUUUGAUCGAAUGUGUAGGAUAGGUGGGAGGUGGUGACACACAACGACCAAUCUUGAAAGACCACUCUUUCGUCUAAGGAUGCCUAACCGCCGCACCGAGGUUUCGGGGGGGAGGGGGGCAGGACAUUGCAUGGUGGGUAGUUUAUCUGGGGCAUAUGCCUCCUAAAGAGUAACAGAGGUGUGCGAAGGUAGGCUCAAGCUAAGAUUCGGCUUGUGAGCGUAAUGGUAUAAGCCUGCCUGACUGUGAGAUCGACUGGUCGAAUAGAGACGAAAGUCGACCAUAGUGAUCCGGGAGUUCCGUGUGGAAAGGCUCUCGCUCAACGGAUCAAAGCUACGCUGGGGAUAACAGGCUGAUGACUCCCAAGACUCUUAUCGACGGAGUCGUUUGGCACCUCGAUGUCGACUCAUCACAUCCUGGGGUUGAAGAAGGUCCCAAGGGUUCGGUUGUUCGCCGAUUCAAGUGGUACGAUAGUUGGGUUUAGAACGUCAUGAGACAGUUCGGUUCCUAUCUACCGUUAGUGUUAAAGGGAGAACUGCGAGGAGCUAACCCUAGUACGAGAGGACUGGGUUGGGCCAACCUAUGGUGUACAGGUUGUUAUGCCAAUAACAGCGCCGGGAAGCUAAGUUGGUAUGGAAAAACCGACAGCGUUGUGGGAAAUCCUUCUCUAUACAAGUUCUCAGACGAGGUUUUUGAACAGAACUUCGAUAGGUGAGAGGUGUAAGCACCGCGAGGUGUGAAGCGAUCUCGUACUAAACGAAACGACUUUCCACU